GUGCAACUCCUUCCCCUGCUA
rnacentral:tRNA from 2 species